CUCUAGCCUGGAACGUAAGGUGAUUCAAGGAGUAACACAAUGUUCGGGAUUGAACCAAAUGUAUUAUUUUUCUAUCACUUUGACUGAAUAUUAGUUUUACAUUGUUCUCACAUAGUUAAAGCAAUCGAAACAAUGUAACCAAGAAUUGUAUUGUGAAUCUGAUUAAAAAAGAGUAACCUAUGGAGUUUCUUGCUCUUUCUUCUCCAUAGGAAUCUACACUUUGGAACGAGCAAAUAGCUUCACUAGAGGACUGACCGACAGACAGACGUUAUUAAUAUUAUUAUAUUUGCUUUGACGUUCAAAAGUGCCUUCCUGGUCUAUUUGAAAUAAAUGAUUUUGACUUUGA